rnacentral:tRNA from 2 species
CGGGGCCUGGCCGGGCACCUCGGCCUGCCCGUGGUGUGGGUACGGCUGGUCUUCGCCGGUCUGAUCAUGGCGGACGGCCUCGGC